rnacentral:rRNA from 1 species
UACGUAGGGGGCGAGCGUUGUCCGGAGUUACUGGGCGUAAAGGGCGCGCAGGCGGUCUGGCAAGUUUGGGGUGACAGUGCUCGGCUUAACUGAGCAAGGCCUUCGAAAACUGCUAGACUUGAGCACUCAAGAGGGACAUAGAAUUCCGGGUGGAGUGGUGAAAUGCGUAGAUAUCCGGAGGAAUACCAAAGGCGAAGGCAGUGUCCUGGGGAGUGUCUGACGCUCAGGCGCGAAAGCUAGGGGAGCGAACAGG